rnacentral:rRNA from 1 species
ACUCCUACGGGAGGCAGCAGUGGGGAAUAUUGCACAAUGGGGGAAACCCUGAUGCAGCCAUGCCGCGUGUGUGAAGAAGGCCUUCGGGUUGUAAAGCACUUUCAGUAGGGAGGAAGGUAGUGUAGUUAACACCUGCACUAUUUGACGUUACCUACAGAAGAAGCACCGGCUAACUCCGUGCCAGCAGCCGCGAUAAUACGGAGGGUGCGAGCGUUAAUCGGAAUUACUGGGCGUAAAGCGCAUGCAGGCGGCCUGUUAAGUCAGAUGUGAAAGCCCGGGGCUUAACCUCGGAAUUGCAUUUGAAACUGGCAGGCUAGAGUCUUGUAGAGGGGGGUAGAAUUUCAGGUGUAGCGGUGAAAUGCGUAGAGAUCUGAAGGAAUACCAGUGGCGAAGGCGGCCCCCUGGACAAAGACUGACGCUCAGAUGCGAAAGCGUGGGGAGCAAACAGGAUUAGAUACCCUGGUAGGAUAGCG